CGUAGGGUGCGAGCGUUAAUCGGAAUUACUGGGCGUAAAGUGUGCGCAGGUGGCCGCGCAUGUCGAGUGUGAAAUCCCCGGGCUUAACAUGGGAAUUGCGCUCGAAACUACGUGGCUAGAGUGUGGCAGAGGAAGGUGGAAUUCCACGUGUAGCGGUGAAAUGCGUAGAGAUGUGGAGGAACACCGAUGGCGAAGGCAGCCUUCUGGGCCAACACUGACGCUCAUGCACGAAAGCGUGGGGAGCAAACAGGAUUAGAUACCCUGGUAGUCCACGCCCUAAACGAUGAUGACUAGUUGUUGGAGGAGUUAAAUCCUUUAGUAACGCAGCUAACGCGUGAAGUCAUCCGCCUGGGGAGUACGGUCGCAAGAUUA
rnacentral:rRNA from 1 species